GUGUAAAGGGCGUGUAGGCGGAGAUGCAAGUCAGGAGUGAAAUCCCGGGGCUCAACCCCGGAACUGCUUUUGAAACUGCAUCCCUUGAGUAUCGGAGAGGCAAGCGGAAUUCCUAGUGUAGCGGUGAAAUGCGUAGAUAUUAGGAGGAACACCAGUGGCGAAGGCGGCUUGCUGGACGACAACUGACGCUGAGGCGCGAAAGCGUGGGGAGCAAACAGGAUUAGAUACCCUGGUAGUCCACGCUGUAAACGAUGAAUACUAGGUGUGGGAGGACUGACCCCUUCCGUGCCGCAGUUAACACAAUAAGUAUUCCACCUGGGGAGUACGACCGCAAGGUUGAAACUCAAAGGAAUUGACGGGGGCCCGCACAAGCAGUGGAUUAUGUGGUUUAAUUCGACGCAACGCGAAGAACCUUACCAGGGUUUGACAUCCAACUAACGAAGUGGAGAUACAUUAGGUGCCCUUCGGGGAAAGUUGAGACAGGUGGUGCAUGGUUGUCGUCAGCUCGUGUCGUGAGAUGUUGGGUUAAGUCCCGCAACGAGCGCAACCCCUAUUGUUAGUUGCUACGCAAGAGCGCUCUAGCGAGACUGCCGUUGACAAAACGGAGGAAGGCGGGGACGACGUCAAAUCAUCAUGCCCCUUAUAUCCUGGGCUACACACGUAAUACAAUGGUGGUUAACAGAGGGAGGCAAUGCCGCGAGGCGGAGCAAAUCCCUAAAAGCCAUCUCAGUUCGGAUUGCAGGCUGCAACUCGCCUGCAUGAAGCUGGAAUUGCUAGU
rnacentral:rRNA from 1 species